rnacentral:rRNA from 1 species
UACGGAGGGGACUAGCGUUGUUCGGAAUUACUGGGCGUAAAGCGCACGUAGGCGGAUUUGUAAGUCAGGGGUGAAAUCCCGGGGCUCAACCUCGGAACUGCCUUUGAUACUGCAAAUCUCGAGUCCGGAAGAGGUGAGUGGAAUUCCUAGUGUAGAGGUGAAAUUCGUAGAUAUUAGGAAGAACACCAGUGGCGAAGGCGGCUCACUGUCCGGUACUGACGCUGAGGUGCGAAAAGCGUGGGGGAGCAAACAGGAU